rnacentral:sRNA from 1 species
GGGGACGGUUGUUUCUGUCUCCUUAACUUUAAAAAUGGAAGUGAUAAACACGAUGCGGAACUUUGUCAAAGAUGAAAAAAUGAGUGAAAACUGCAAUGUUGAAUGACUUUCAAGCCCCAGCCACGUGCACGUGGUUUCUGGUAAAACUGAAGAGUAAGGAGCCUGGCGCUUUUGAAACUUCAUAUAAUAUGAAAAAAACUUUCUAACCGUGGAAAUGGAAGAAAGAGGUUCACAAAUCAUGUAAAAGGAACGCCAUCUAAUAAAAGGUGACAGUUGCUUGGGGCGCCGAAACAUGUAUCUCGGAGUAGCCUUCGUUAUCAGCUAAGGCUACCAUAUGGAGUUGGCCACAUGAAUAAAUCCUCUUGGCAUAAACAGAUGUGAUAGUUGAGGUGGAAGGAAUAAAUCUGAGGG